GACGAACGCUGGCGGCGUGCCUAAAACAUGCAAGUCGAACGGUGUCUUCGGACAUAGUGGCGCACGGGUGCGUAACACGUAUGCAACCUACCUUACAUUGGGGGAUAGCCUUUCGAAAGGGAGAUUAAUACCGCAUAAGACAGUAGCUGGGCAUCCAGCAGCUGUUAAAGAUUUAUCGAUGUAAGCUGGGCAUGCGUCCAAUUAGCUAGUUGGUGAGGUAACGGCUCACCAAGGCAGUGAUUGGUAGGGGAACUGAGAGGUCAAUCCCCCACACUGGCACUGAGAUACGGGCCAGACUCCUACGGGAGGCAGCAGUAGGAAUAUUGGGCAAUGGACGCAAGUCUGACCCAGCCAUGCCGCGUGCAGGAUGAAGGCGUUAUGCGUUGUAAACUGCUUUUAUACAGGAAGAAACGACUCUUGCGAGAGGCAUUGACGGUACUGUAUGAAUAAGCACCGGCUAACUCCGUGCCAGCAGCCGCUGUAA
rnacentral:rRNA from 1 species